GACGAACGCUGGCGGCGUGCUUAACACAUGCAAGUCGAACGGAAAGGCCCUGCUUUUGUGGGGUGCUCGAGUGGCGAACGGGUGAGUAACACGUGAGUAACCUGCCCUUGACUUUGGGAUAACUUCAGGAAACUGGGGCUAAUACCGGAUAGGAGCUCCUGCUGCAUGGUGGGGGUUGGAAAGUUUCGGCGGUUGGGGAUGGACUCGCGGUUUAUCAGCUUGUUGGUGGGGUAGUGGCUUACCAAGGCUUUGACGGGUAGCCGGCCUGAGAGGGUGACCGGCCACAUUGGGACUGAGAUACGGCCCAGACUCCUACGGGAGGCAGCAGUGGGGAAUAUUGCACAAUGGGCGGAAGCCUGAUGCAGCAACGCCGCGUGCGGGAUGACGGCCUUCGGGUUGUAAACCGCUUUCGCCUGUGACGAAGCGUGAGUGACGGUAAUGGGUAAAGAGGCACCGGCUAACUACGUG
rnacentral:rRNA from 1 species